rnacentral:pre_miRNA from 1 species
GUGUGGAAGAUCGAAGGAACUCCCGGUGUGAUAUAUGACUCGAUUAUAUCACAGCAGUAGUUACCUGAUAUGUUUCACAC